AUUGAACGCUGGCGGCAUGCCUUACACAUGCAAGUCGAACGGCAGCACGGGGGCAACCCUGGUGGCGAGUGGCGAACGGGUGAGUAACACAUCGGAACGUGCCCAGUAGUGGGGGAUAGCUCGGCGAAAGCCGGAUUAAUACCGCAUACGACCUACGGGUGAAAGCGGGGGAUCGCAAGACCUCGCGCUAUCGGAGCGGCCGAUGUCAGAUUAGGUUGUUGGUGGGGUAAAGGCCUACCAAGCCGACGAUCUGUAGCUGGUCUGAGAGGACGACCAGCCACACUGGGACUGAGACACGGCCAGACUCCUACGGGAGGCAGCAGUGGGGAAUUUUGGACAAUGGGCGCAAGCCUGAUCCAGCCAUGCCGCGUGCGGGAAGAAGGCCUU
rnacentral:rRNA from 1 species